AACUUUUGCAACUGGUCACAAGAAAGCAUCAUGGAGAACCCAGGAAGUUACAACAGCAGCGACGCGUAUUAUCCUUACGAUUAUUACUAUUAUAACUAUGAUUACAACUACACAUAUGAAGAAAAUCUGAACUACCUUCCUCUGGAUGAACUGAUUCCGAGUCUGACUUUUUAUGUUUUAAUUGGGUUGCUAGGACUUGCCGGAAAUAUUUUGGUCAUCGUUGCGAUUUUGGCGUUUCCUCGCAUGAAAAGCAUCACGAAUGUUUUCCUGCUUAGUUUGGCGUCUGCUGAUCUGCUGCUAGUGUUAAUCUGUGUUCCAAUCAAGUUGACAGCGUUUUUCUCGUACACAUGGCGGAUCGGCCCCUUCCUCUGUACAUUCGUGGCCUACAUCCAGAAUGUGUCCAUGGUGUGCUCAGUUCUAACGUUGACAGUCAUGAGUAUAGAAAGGUUCGUUGCGAUCAUAUACCCUUUGCAAGCCCGAUCGUUCUGUACGAUGAAACAUGCCAAGUUUGUGACCAUUUUCAUCUGGAUCGGAUCUUUCGUCAUCGCCUCUCCAACGGCGUUUGUACGGGUCAGUGCCUUCUGCUCUGGCAUCAAAGCGUCCCAGUGAUAACGAUCGUAAACAAGAAGGGAACUAUUGCAUAAACUUUGACGCCUUCCGGCUAGAAUUGCUUCUUUUUGAUACUUUUAAUGAGAGAGUGAUGUCAUCAGGGGAAAACGUUAUAUAAACACAAUUUUUAUCCUUUUUGAUAAGACGAAACAAAUGGGGAAUAUGUUAUGUACCAAAUUGCGAAAGUUUCGUAAAAUCGUGAUUAUUUUUUGGUCGUGUUUUUUCUAUGAUGAAUUGCAACAAAUGUCUCUUUUCAUAGAAACUGAAAGAGGUGGGCAACUCGCAGCGCAAGGCCCAUUGGUGUGUGAAGCAGUUCAUGUCUCAUGAGUUUGAGAUCGCCUACGAGGUUUACAUGUUCUUCAUCCUGUUCGCAAUUCCUUUGGGGGUCAUGUUAGUGACCUAUAUCCGAAUUUCCAUCGAGAUUUGGGACGUGGUCUCCAAAAGAGCAGUGUUAAGAUCUGGGAGUGAGUACAAUUACUCCUCCAGUCAGAGUCAGAGCAAUGGCGCAAUGGCCAGAGAAUCCUCAUUUGUCACUCAGUCGUCGACAAAAUCUAAGUCUGUGCCCAACGCUUGUAGUGAAGAUGCAAAGACCAGAAAACAGGUAAUUCUGAUGUUGAUGGUGAUCGUUCUUCUGUUCGCCAUUUGUUGGGGACCAAUCCUUCUGAACAAUCUGCUGGUCGCAGCGAAGGUCAUCAGCGAUCUACACGAGGGAUUCCUGAAGCCGAUGCGAAUGGCCUUCCAUCUGAUGUCGUACGCCAACAGUUGUGUCAAUCCGAUCGUUUACGGCAUCAUGUCCAAAAACUUCCAAGACAGUCUGAAAAGUGUUCUAAAGUGCUGCAACUCGCGGCAGACCUACCGAACGUACGUCUACAGCACUGAUACCACCAGGGCGUCCAUUCUCAAGUCCAGUAACAGCGAGGACAAAGAUAAUGGCUGUAUCGAAAUGAACUGAGUACCAGGAACCAAACUUUUCACUGAAGACACAUUGUAAAUAAUUUCACUAUGGUUUCUUCUCUAAAUUCAUAUGUCGUAUACUAUACUGGUUAGUUUAUAUUGUAGACUAAACUUCUAAUGGAAGCGGCUUUAUUGCUCAAUGUAAAAAAAAAUAUAAAAGGUGACAAUGUAUUAAAAUGUUACAAUCCAUUGAGAUAGCAUUUACUUAGUAUAAGUAUCACAAAGACUAAUGCAAUGAGAUAUUAUUAUAAUAUAGAUGUAUGUAGUAAAUCAGAAAGAAGGGCAUUAUAUAAUUAUAUGUACAUAUACUGUAGUUUUGCUUUACAGCUGAAUAUCACCAAACAAAUGACCCAUGUAAAACAUUCUAGUUAAAGGCAGCUGAUGGUUUUCCAUGAAAUUUAGCUACCAUGUGCGAACAGAAAUAUCAUUCUUUUUUUUCUUUUUUUGUUUACAAAAGAUUAAGCUUACUGUUUUUCAAAAUCACAAUUACCAAAAAUUUCGUUUUAAUUCUUUACUAAACAAAAGUUUUCAUGGCAAUUUUUAAGUUCAUUUCGGUACAUAUGUAUUAUUAUAUCUACCUGUUAAAAUUGAAUCAAAGUUUUUGUCGUAAUAAAACAACUGGCUGUUUCUUUGU
rnacentral:misc_RNA from 1 species